rnacentral:rRNA from 1 species
AUACGGAGGGUGCAAGCGUUAAUCGGAAUUACUGGGCGUAAAGCGUACGUAGGCGGUUCGUUAAGUUAGAUGUGAAAGCCCCGGGCUUAACCUGGGAACUGCAUUUAAAACUGGCGAACUAGAGUUGAGUAGAGGGGAGUGGAAUUUCAGGUGUAGCGGUGAAAUGCGUAGAGAUCUGAAGGAACACCAGUGGCGAAGGCGACUCCCUGGACUCAAACUGACGCUGAGGUACGAAAGCGUGGGUAGCAAACGGGAUUAGAAACCCUAGUAGUCC